AAGACUAUAGACCUGCGGAGUACCUGCGGAGGGAUCAUUAUCGAGUGUGACCCUCCUGUAAAAAAGGGGGUACCUCCCGUCCUUUUGCUAGGCCCUCCCCCUCCAAAAAUUUUUUUGACAGGGGGAAGCUUUUUCAAACCUUCUGCUUCGGUGGGUUUUAAACCCCGCCGGAACAACCUCAAAAAUUCUUUAUAAUUGUUCUGUCCGAGAAAAAUUUUAUUAAAAUGAAAAAACUUUCAG
rnacentral:misc_RNA from 1 species